AAGUUCCCUGGCAGACUGCACCUAUGAAUCAAUGUUAGACAGUAGUGUGCCUACCCUUGAAGCUGUAAGCAUCCUGGAAGUCCAACCCAGAAGGACAUUUUUUGCCAGAUGGAGGUUCCAGUUCAGGAAAAUAUUAAAACAGAGAUUUCAAAGGGACUUCAUAAAAUGCUUGAAGGUACUGAAUGAGCAAGCUUUACUACUGAUAGAGAAGUGCUUCUAAUAACUGCCAACAAUGUUACGUGUCUGUAAUCCACAUUAUGGCAGGCAAGGUCAGGUCCUAGUUUCACUGCAGCUGAGCCGAGUCAACUAACCGCUGCCUCGACCCUACUGCUGAAUAAAUGGCUUG